rnacentral:rRNA from 2 species
UGCAAGUCGAGCGGAAGGCCCUUCGGGGUACUCGAGCGGCGAACGGGUGAGUAACACGUGAGCAACCUGCCCCAGGCUUUGGGAUAACCCCGGGAAACCGGGGCUAAUACCGAAUAUGACCUCUGACCGCAUGGUUGGUGGUGGAAAGUUUUUCGGCUUGGGAUGGGCUCGCGGCCUAUCAGCUUGUUGGUGGGGUGAUGGCCUACCAAGGCGACGACGGGUAGCCGGCCUGAGAGGGCGACCGGCCACACUGGGACUGAGACACGGCCCAGACUCCUACGGGAGGCAGCAGUGGGGAAUAUUGCACAAUGGGCGGAAGCCUGAUGCAGCGACGCCGCGUGAGGGAUGACGGCCUUCGGGUUGUAAACCUCUUUCAGCAGGGACGAAGCGUAAGUGACGGUACCUGCAGAAGAAGCGCCGGCCAACUACGUGCCAGCAGCCGCGGUAAGACGUAGGGCGCGAGCGUUGUCCGGAUUUAUUGGGCGUAAAGAGCUCGUAGGCGGCUUGUCGCGUCGACCGUGAAAACUUGGGGCUCAACCCCAAGCCUGCGGUCGAUACGGGCAGGCUAGAGUUCGGUAGGGGAGACUGGAAUUCCUGGUGUAGCGGUGAAAUGCGCAGAUAUCAGGAGGAACACCGGUGGCGAAGGCGGGUCUCUGGGCCGAUACUGACGCUGAGGAGCGAAAGCGUGGGGAGCGAACAGGAUUAGAUACCCUGGUAGUCCACGCUGUAAACGUUGGGCGCUAGGUGUG